rnacentral:rRNA from 1 species
UACGUAGGUGGCGAGCGUUAUCCGGAUUUACUGGGUGUAAAGGGCGCGUAGGCGGGAUGCAAGUCAGAUGUGAAAUCCAUGGGCUCAACCCAUGGACUGCAUUUGAAGCUGUAUUUCUUGAGUGCUGGAGAGGUAGACGGAAUUCCUUGUGUAGCGGUGAGAUGCGUAGAUAUAAGGAAGAACACCGAUGGCGAAAGCAGUCUCCUGGGCAAAUACUGACGCUGAGGUACGAGAGCUAGGGUAGCAAACA